rnacentral:lncRNA from 1 species
UAUUUCCAAUAUCUGAACACACAAAGAAACUAUAAUCUCCUCCUUCACCUUAUUGGUCUCUUCCUUACAGCAAUUCAGUCAUACCAAUAACUGCUAUUUCCACCAAUAUAUUCACCCUCAUAAUCUCUAAUUGUAAUACUGCACCCUCAUAGCUUUCAGCACACAAUUACCCUCGUUCCAAUCACUGGAAUUCUUCACACAGAACUGCCAUUCAUAUUACAAUGUUUCACACAAAUACAAACUCAUUCUCUCUGCUGAACUACAAUCAGAUUUCAACAUUCAAUCUUUCUUCUUCUCAAAUAAUACCAAUCACAUUUCCAUUCCAUAAUUCACUUCACAAUAUUUAGAAACUCUCAAUCCUCUUAUUCAAAGAAAAUAACAAACAAAAGAAAAGAGGUAGCACCAAGCUUACCCCGGCUUUUACUAUCACAGCGAUGGCCUUCGGCUCAUGACUAUCUUAGUCUGGCCCUCGGCUUACGACUCUCACAAUCUGGUAUUUUCUUCUCCUCUUCCAUCCUCCUUAUACUACCCCAAGAUACCAACUCCUAUAUUACAAAUCAUAACUACUUUUUCUGACUAUGCAUCCAUUCUACCUGCUGAACCACCUUUUCAGCAAUUAUGUAUCCUUGUUUACACUAUACACUAGGUAUCUACAUUGUGAAAAUAACUACUUAUUCUACAUAGCCCCACUCCUAACUGUGCAGCGUCCCUGCAAACACUCAAUUGAUACAUAUCUGAAAAUUAUCUAACAAAAUUCUACAAAAAUUGCGAUCCCUUUGGCCUAUCUAAUUAAUCAAUUGCCAUAGUAUCUGUUAUUGGUUCCACUAAUUCCGAUUCCAACUGCAAAUCUUCUUCCUCCUCCAAUCCUUCCAUCGGCUCUUGCCUCAACUGAGCUGAAAGGUCUUCAUUGUACUCACCCAGUACACAGACUUGAGCUUCUAAUUUUAGGAUCUGGACAUCUCAAAAUUCCAAUUGUUGCUGCUGCUGACUCAUCCAUUCUAUAACAUCUUCAAUCGAUACUUGUGACUGGCUCCUCAAUGUUAAGUCUUAACUGAAACUACUACUCUCAAAAACACAAGAAAUACAAGAAAAUGGCACUCCAGCCAACCCAAAAUAAUACCACAGAAUGACUUUAACUGGUGCCCCACUCCUAUUCUUUUACCUAGUGGUGAUAACGACAACAUGUUAUCCAUACUGUCCGUGAAAGGUAAUGAAAAGUAAUCUUUUUUGGUGGCCGCAUUUAACUUUCGGAAAUUUUGACAUAUCCUGAUUUUUACAUUCUUCUUCGGUACCAUCACGAUUGGCGACACCCAUGUACUAUGCGGAACAGGAUAAAUAAAAUCCAUGACAAGAAGUCUAUCCAAUUCUUCUUUCACUAAAAAGAAAUAUUUUGGAUUAAGCUGGUGUUGUCUUUGACAAACUGGCAUAACACCCUCCUCCAAAAUAAUUUGAUGCUCUUACACGUGAACUGGAAUUUCUUUCAAAUCUGCAUACGACCACACAUAGGCAGAUUUGUGACAGACGAAAAACUGUUUUGAAGCAUCCAAUUCUGUACCAAUAAUAUCGACAUAUAUUUUAAUUAGUUGUGGCAUUUUGUUGGUGCCCAGAUUAAUAGAUUGACACACAAGGUCUUCAACAACCUCUGAUUUAAUUUUCUUCUCCUGAUCUGAAUAUCUUGUAUUAUCCGACAUAUGGGAACCAUCCAAAUUUGGUUCUGAUGUGCUGACUCUAUUGACUACGGAAUUGUUAAUCCAUUCGGCAAUAGCAUGAUCCGAGUUAGUCACAUCCUCUUGAUGAAGUAAAUAUUCACCGGGACCUCCACAUUGGUAGACUCCUACCUUUACCGUUGAAGUGAUUUGUCCUACCUCAAAUUGCGAUUAACCUAUAGCAUCAUCAUCUGCUUCAAUCGAUUGACUCUUGUUGUCCGAUGUAAAUUUUGAUUCUGGCAAUUGAGAUUCUCUAUGAUAUUGUACCGGAUACAUCUAUAGAACAAUCUGGUCCCGGUCUUUUCUAAUUGUCAAUGUGCCUCGGCCCCAAUCGUUCUUAGCUUUGGCUUGAUAAAGCCAAGGUCUGUCUAAUAAAAUGAGAUAUAAUAAUAUAGAACUAUGUAAUCGAAAUACAAUAUAAUCGAUUUUGUAUGUCAAUCCCGCGAUUACAGUGGCAAUAUUACAUAAGAUUCCCAUUGGCUUUACUUGACUAUGAUUUGCCAUUCGUAAGACCAAUGUCGUAGGUACCAAUUGCUUUAGAUCUAAGUCCUUCAUUGUAUCCGCAUUCAUUAAAUUCACACUAGAGCCACCAUCAACUUGUACCCUUGGAAUUAAAAUGCCAUCAAUUGAUACAUCGAUUGUUGGUGCUCCCGGAUCUGGAUUUAAGCUAACUUCAUAAAUUUCUUUAAUGCGGGAUCUUCAUUGUAUUAACGCUGAAUUCAAUAUAGAUCGACAUUCUAGUGCUACAACCAAAAGUUGCUUCAUUGUAAUUGAAGGCUGAAUAACAUCCAAAUCCUUCAGAAUGUCGUAGGAUUCCAUAUUUAGGAUAAUUUCCAAUGCCCUCUUUCUUUUCAUUGGUUUGAGUUUAACUCCGUGAGGUAAGAUAUUCUUCUGCCUUGGACUCGAAAUUAGAAUAGCAGCUGGGGCUUCCUUGGAAUUCCGACCUCCGAGAGGAUCUUUCAACGGAUAGGACGUUUCUUGGAACUACGUAGAGAUCAAAACUGCUUGGAACAAAAUCGAAGCCUCCAUAAUUGGGACCUCAUUGGGUUGUGCCACCGAGUCAGGUCUCAUACUGGGUACGAAGCCCGUAACAUGACCUAGAUUGGAUGGUCUCCUAAUUGGGUCAAAUUGGUCUCUCGCAUCGGGAUUAUCCAAAUGUUGAAUUGGUCCUUUUCUCUUUUGGUGACUCCAGGUAAGAACGGCUUGGACACAUUCCACCUGAUUUAUCGAAGAAUCUUGAGGAUCUCGAUUUAUCUCCUCAAAUUUUUCUUGGCUUUGAAUCUAUUGAUUCCGAUUAUUGACAUUGAACGAAGCAUUCAUUGCUGAUACAUAUGCCCCUACUACUUGCAAUUUACACAAACUAGUGCAUAAUCGUCACUGGCUCUGAAAUUGGGACAUUCAUUGGUAUAAUGAUCAAUCUGUCUGCACCGGAAACAAUGAAGUGGUCUUCUUGUACCUCCAUCAGGCAUAUUGGGUGCCUCCACCGGUAUAUACCUAUUAAGCUUGUUCCAUGUAGGGUUAGAAAAUGAUCCUAGUUGUCUUGUUGGUACUGAAGAAACUUGAUUUGAUGACGUCGGUGGAGCAUAUUGCUGAUACCUGUGCUACUCCUUACCAUAGUUCUGGGGGUUUGAUACAGACCUCUGAUUAAAAUUGGAACUUUGAAAGUUAUUGAAUUCUCAAUUUUGUCGAUUAAAUCGAUUUUCAUUCCAUCCAAACGUAUUUUCCAUUUGCACUUGAUUGACGUCCCACUGGGUUGGUGGAAUCAUGGUCUGAUUACUAAAUUAUUGUUGUUGUCUUUGCCAAUUCCAACAAUUUGCUGUUAGGUGCUUUCCUCCGCAAAAUGUACAUUGACCCAUUAUUUGUGAGAGUGAGGGGCAUUCUGUUACAGAAUGACCGUGGCUCUUACAAUUACUGUACCAUACAUUGGUCCUAAUAUUGAUAGGCUUUUGCCUCUUCUCUUUAUCUUUGGCCAUAUUGACGGCCAUUUCUUCCAUUUUCUUUGUCAAAUUUAAUAACAAGGUUUCAUUGAAAUCUUUUAGGACUGGCAUUAUUGGUAUCUCUACCAUAGUUAACACUUGUUGUUGAUACAAAAAAUAUGGAGCAUAUGCUGUUAUCACAUUCGGUGGUAUAGCUUGCAAUGGGGUGACAUUAAUUGGCCUGUGAAUAUUAGUAUUGGAAUUGGCCCCUGUUUCUAACAUCCGUGGAUAACUACCCACUGAUUCAUUCUAAGUCAGAUUUUGAUAUCUACCUUGAACUGGAAUCAUCGUGGCUCUCGCAGUUAAAAACUGAUCAUAAUGGCAUUCCUCCCAAACUUUGGCUCUAUUAAAGGAUGCAGCCAUCGUAACGGGUUGAGCUUCCUUUACAAACAUUUUUAGCUUUGGUGGGUGCAAACCAUUGAUUAAUAUGGAUAAGAUAAAUGCCUCCAACAUUUGGUGAUUCGGCCACUUACUGAAUAUAUCACCCCCCCGGCCAUAGUAUGAUUCCACCACCUUCCCUAGGAUCAUUUUGCUGUUCAUUAACCUCUCUCGAAGGCGAUCCUCAAAACCAAUUGGCCAAAAAUGAGAUAAAAAUACAUUCUUCAAUGCUUCCCAAUUUAGAAAUUGACCCACUGGUUGGCAGUUGUACUAUUCAAAUGUCGUGGCUUUUAAGGUCAUUGGCAACCAUUGCAACCAAAUAUCUUCAGUUUUACCAUUAUUAGCUAUACAUGCUAUAAGAAACUGAGACAAAUAUUGAUCGGAAUCCGUACCCGAAAAUCCCCAAAAAGUAGGUAGUGGCGCGACACUAGUUGUACAAUCGCCUAUUGCAUCCAUUUGUACUGCAAUCAGAAUGACUGGUCCUCCUGACACCAUUAAGUUUCUUGUUCCACUAAACUCCAUUUUAAAAUAAUCUCUACUUUUCCUUAUUCUAAUUUCCGAGCUCUCAGUGCUCCUUGAUUUAGUGUUAUUUUCCGCAAUUAGUUUUAUUAGUUGAAUUACAGGUGAAAACAUCGGAUUUUGAAAUACAAUAUAGUUAUCUUUAUUGGUGACCAAUUUGUGCUAAUUUGAAGAGCUACUAUUGCUCAUUUCAGCGGUACCCCUACUGAAAAAAUACCCAAUGGAGUACCAAAUUCUUCUAUGCCUCCUUCUCUUUCAGUUAACAGCAUCAAAAUUUCCAUUGAAAUAUUAACAAAAUUUCUCGCGAGUGUUCUUGGCAGUUUUUCUAAUGGUACAUACGACUACAAAAUUAACAGUCUGUCCAGUUCUUGAUAUGUUCGGAUGCACCGACAAGCUUGUAACCAUGGUUUAAUCCAAUUUUGUCGAUGCUUCCUUUUAAGAUUAUGUUCUUGCUCUUCUCUAAGCAAGUUCUUUCCUUGCGCUCUUCCUUCUCUUUCUUCAAAUUGAUUUAUUUUCCUCGAUGCAAUGCUCUCUUUCUUAUUAACCAUAAUCUUGCUUCAAACACUACUGAAAUCGUCUUCCAUUGCCAAUUUUUUCAUACGUUUGGUAAUUAAUUCCUAACAUUCAAAGCUAUUAUCACUCUUCGGCAAUGGCACCAAAAUGUGAUUGCUCGUUUUCUUAUUUCAAAAGAAACCUCCCAGAAUAAAUCCAUAUAGGAAGAUUCGAACACGGAGAAUGACUAGUUGCUUAAGCGUUCAUGUUAGGAUCACACAAUCAAUUACCUCCUGAAUGUAUCGUCUCUAUUUCCAAUAUCUGAACACACAAAGAAACUAUAAUCUCCUCCUUCACCUUAUUGGUCUCUUCCUUACAGCAAUUCAGUCAUACCAAUAACUGUUAUUUCCACCAAUAUAUUCACCCUCAUAAUCUCUAAUUGUAAUACUGCACCCUCAUAGCUUUCAGCACACAAUUACCCUCGUUCCAAUCACUGGAAUUCUUCAUACAGAACUGCCAUUCAUAUUACAAUGUUUCACACAAAUACAAACUCAUUCUCUCUGCUGAACUACAAUCAGAUUUCAACAUUCAAUCUUUCUUCUUCUCAAAUAAUACCAAUCACAUUUCCAUUCCAUAAUUCACUUCACAAUAUUUAGAAACUCUCAAUCCUCUUAUUCAAAGAAAAUAACAAACAAAAGAAAAGAGGUAGCACCAAGCUUACCCCGGCUUUUACUAUCACAGCGAUGGCCCUCGGCUCAUGACUAUCACAGUCUGGCCCUCGGCUUACGACUCUCACAAUCUGGUAUUUUCUUCUCCUCUU